rnacentral:siRNA from 1 species
GAAGUCACUCGGCCUGGGGGU